rnacentral:misc_RNA from 1 species
CUGGAACGCGUCGCAAGGCGCACCCAGGAAACCCUUUGUGAACUUAUACCUACAUCGUUGCCUCGGCGUUGGCUGCCUCUCCCCUUGCGGGAGGGGGCCCUCUCUACACACUUGUGUGUAAGAGGACAGCAGGCCCGCCGGCGGCCCAUUAAACUCUUGUUUUUACCGAGUAACUUCUGAGUAAAGCUUCUAAAAUGAAUCA